rnacentral:lncRNA from 1 species
GGCUAUCGUAGGAUGAUAUGAGAGGAGCAGGUCAUGACUAUGCCUGGCACUGAACCUAGGACUCAGAGCAGCUUGUGAAUGUCACUCACUGUCCUUCCUUAUUUCUUGAGCCUGCAAAUGUUAAGGAUGCAGCAAGACUGGAGCAAAGGGCUGGAAGAAUAAGGACUGGAGUAAGAGAGCCAUGAGUGCAAGAAAGGCCCUACCAGCUAUUCUGGGGAAUAUAUACAAUAGUCCCUUCUUA